rnacentral:rRNA from 1 species
AUAGAGUUGAUCCUGGCUCAGAUUGAACGCUGGCGGCAGGCCUAACACAUGCAAGUCGAACGGUAGCACAGAGGAGCUUGCUCCUUGGGUGACGAGUGGCGGACGGGUGAGUAAUGUCUGGGAAACUGCCCGAUGGAGGGGGAUAACUACUGGAAACGGUAGCUAAUACCGCAUAACGUCGCAAGACCAAAGAGGGGGACCUUCGGGCCUCUUGCCAUCGGAUGUGCCCAGAUGGGAUUAGCUAGUAGGUGGGGUAACGGCUCACCUAGGCGACGAUCCCUAGCUGGUCUGAGAGGAUGACCAGCCACACUGGAACUGAGACACGGUCCAGACUCCUACGGGAGGCAGCAGUGGGGAAUAUUGCACAAUGGGCGCAAGCCUGAUGCAGCCAUGCCGCGUGUAUGAAGAAGGCCUUCGGGUUGUAAAGUACUUUCAGCGAGGAGGAAGGCGUUGUGGUUAAUAACCGCAACGAUUGACGUUACUCGCAGAAGAAGC